UAAUAGGGGCCGGAGCUGCUACAAUUGCUUCAGCGGGAGCUGCUAUCGAUAUAAUGUCGCUUGACAUUAGCCGUGAAUCAGAUGCUUCAAAUUCCGUGAACAAUCCUAAGGUUUGAUUUUUUGGAAUUGAAGAUCUUGAGAAAGAAAGGCAUAUGGGAACUUGAAUGUUGAAACUAUUUGGAUGUUAUGAUUAGACUUUUAUGGAUUUCGUUUUAAGUUUGUUAAGACAUUAUGUGUUUAUGCAUUUUUAUGACUUUUGUGAACCUUUGGCGACUAAAUUUUCAUUAAACAGGUUCCUUAA